UUCUUAUCCAGAAAGAUCGAGGGAUUUGACCCUAUGACGUCUUGGCAACCUGUUCAUUAAUUUGAAUAAGGUGCCACAUUCAACCACAUGUAAAUGUGGAAAGAUAAGUU
rnacentral:ncRNA from 2 species